GACUCCAAGCUUUCUCAUAGUAUGCAACAAAAGCAAACUCAGAAUUGGUCCAAAAAAAAACGCAAAUCAAAAUGGCAAAAAUAUUCAUCAAGACUCUCUGCUUAUCAGCUCUCAUGAUGUUCCUCUUGUUUGUUUCUAGUGGAUUACCGAAGGUGAAUGGCCAGACGUCAUGUCCUGAGUUAGUGGGUGAAGGAGCUGAGAAUACAUGCUCUGAAGGUAGCAGUUAUAUACCUUGCGAUGUUAGUUGCAAGCUACUCUUCACUAUAACACAUGUUGGCUUAUGUAAACCCGAAGAUAAUGGACUUCACUGCCACUGCUACAUACCUUGUUAAAAUGGUUUACGAAUGCUCCAAAUCAAACCUUAAAAUUUGAAUAAUUUCACAUCGAUUGGUUUCCUUUGGUUUACAUUUAUCAUUCAUGUGUGCAUGUCUGUGUGUAUGAUGGGUUUUAAUAUAUUUCCAUCAGCAUUAUUGUAGCUGAUGAUGAUUAUUCAAUGAAAGAUUUAAAUAUAAA